GACUUCCAUCCCACGCGGAGGAAAGAGCGAUCCAUUUUGCGCAUGCGUAACUUGAUUUCUACUGCUUUUGAGGUGCUUCGCAAUGCGGCACAUAAUACAGCAUGGAAACAUCUCAAGUCUCUGUAGAUUGGAAGACAUAAUUCACUGUCACCUUGCAUGCAUAAGGAGUCAACCCAGGCAGGGAUGCAGAUGUCACAUAUCUUCAUUGUAAGCUCUAAUCCCAAGAAAAUCCCUUUUUGGAGAAGAGGGUGUUAGUAAUGCAUCUCUUCUGAUCCACAUUCCAAGGAAAAUGUCAGCGUUUGAUGGUAACAAAAGCAGCCAUCUCUGAAACUUUUCCUGGAAGCAGAAUUCCAUGUACACCUGCUGGGAAUGGGACAGACACCUGGAUCUUAGGUAUAAAGUGUUCCGGUUUAAAGAAACAGCACGGUGAAUAUGAGUUUGGAACGGAUAAGACCAGACAUGUACGUGGAAGGCAAAAUCACGAAACUGUGUUUCACUUAUUUUGGCCAUGUCAUGGGGAAUUCACUGGAGAAAGUAGUUGUCAAUGUUGUGACAACUAGCUAUAUUUGAAAGAAUUAGAGGUAAAAGGAAAUCAGACCACCAAAAAGCAUCGGCUGGAUACCAUCAAGGCCGACACUAGCCAGAACAUAAAAAAAACUCCAGGAAGCAGCACAGGAUUGGAUGAGGUGAAGAGACCUGGCCCAUAGAAUUGCCAAGAAUCAGUGAAUGGAUUGAAUGGAUAACAUCAUUAUCAACAGAUCUAUAAGCUUUUAAACAACCUGCAUCUACUGCAAACCUAUGCAAACAGACCAGCAACCACCCCACUGUGUCCAGAUCCUCUUCAGAAGGGCCAGGAGAAAUGGCUACUUGAUGUCUUUCUCUGCUAUCCAAAAAACUUCAAAUUCUGAUACACAGCACCCAAACCACACCACACACCCAACCGCCGUGCAAAAACUAGCUUUACCAUACACACAUGGGGUGUUGGAAAUGACAGCCAGAAUUCUCCAACCCGUAGGAAUAGGAAUAGUCCACAAACCCACAGCCAUAUAACACCAGGAUUUAUCCAGAACCAAAGACAAGACACAGAAGGGUGAAAGAAACAAUGUAAUCUAUAAAGUCAACUAUAACGUGAGACAAACAGCACAUCAAUUAAAAAACGUUCCACAAACACCACCAAUUUGAUUGGAGCGUCACUAAAAUCAUCAACCACGCUACCACUGCCAUGCUCGUGUUCAUUGAAGCCUGGCACUCCACAAGCAGUUCCCUCAGACACAUUGACCUACAAUCAGUCUACAAACCCCUCAGAAUUCAAAUUAAUCGCACGGCCAACUAGAAUCAGCACUGACCCUCAACCAACCCAUGUAAGUCCCCCUCCCCCUCAGUUUACCUGACCUGAUGUAACCUCCCCAUCACAAGCCUGUGAUGACUCACACCUGACCCAUCACAAGACCUUCACUUGACACAUCCACAUCUGAAGCCUUUAUAAACAGAAGAGCACUGACACAUAUGCCCUAAAUGUCACUGGAGAUGUUACCUGGCCUGGGAACUAAGCAUUUGGAAACCAACCCACAAGCUCGGAGAACCAACCUUUACCCUCAGGUUUUAAUAUGUUUAUUAAAAAGUUUGGGGGAAGGUUUUAAUAAAAUUUUAUUUACAUUGACAGGUAUAAUCAGUAUAUAGCAGGACACAUUUCAGCCAUAUUUGUUGGUUUUAAAACGGCUGACUUUUUCUCUGUUGAAGAAAGAAUGUUUCAAGACUUUUAAGCUAGCUGGAGGCCAUUAAAUAAUUAUACAGAAGACCCCUCUUGUCCUGUAGUUUGUUACCAAUCAGGUCCAUCAAGGAAGCACUCAAGCUUUAUUGUCACUGCCUCUUCAUGUUCUCAGAUAAUUAGGAUUCAAGAGGUGUGCUACCCCUGAUCUGGAGAUGAGGUAGCCAUAUGCAUUAAUGUGGCAUCCCAUUGUUUAGUGUUUUACAUAAUUGUAUGAGAUGUCCAUUCUUUCAAUAAUUACUCAAUUUUUGUCAUCCAUGUUAAGUGUACAUAACAGGCAGAAAUAGUCUGGACCCUAUUUUGCAAUGGAAUUCUGGAGCAUACUGGGCAUUAGCUAUGUUGAUGUUACCAUUUACUCUACAGUGCAGCCUUCCAUAAAAGGAUUGCCCCUGGAUGUGUUUGCUAUUCUAGCUAAGCUGAAGGCUCAGUCUCUAACGCCUGAGUGUUUCCAGGCCAAGCUUAUCAUGAAAACGCUCGUACUUGUAAUGAGGACAGUGGCUGUGGUAUUCUCUGCUGGCUUGAAAAUGCUCAUUGCUUGCUUCCUUGUAUCUCAGCAGAACUCACAGAAAACAGCUAAUGGACAGGAUUGAAUGUCUUUUCUGAGUAGGGUCUGUUCAUUCCUUUUACAAUAAUGAGCAGAAAACAAUUUUUUCUUCUCUUCUGCUUUCCUCCUUUUCAUCAGCUAGGCCUGCUUUUGGAUUUAAUUUAUUCCGUCAGAGGGACAGCAUUUUCUACUUUCUCCCCCACCCUCCACCCCAUGAAAAGAAACAAAAGCACAAAGAUCAUUCAACAUUUAUGCAAUUAUACGAAGUGGGGAAAUGUUUCAGGUUACAUCCAUCUAUUCCCCUUAUGUGCCCUGCAACCCUCUGUCAGUAGCCAUUACUUUUCAGCAGAACAAAGACGUGAGUCUGCUAUUUGCGCUUAAUUAUCUUAGAAACACUAAUGAGGCAUUUGCAAGGUUGUGUGUGGUGUUCGCAAGGUUACCCUUUCUGUUGCUUUUUGGAAUCUAGUUUAAUUAGCUUGAGAGGAAAUUUUGGCCCAGGUGGGCCAAAGUUAGAGUUACUCCUCCACUCUAGGUACUUCCCCCCCCCAAGCACUUUGCAAUGCUUUCUUGCUCAUUUAAUACGACUGCAUUUAUUGAUAAGGUGCACCCUAUGAAACAAAGUGUGCACCUUUGGAAAGGGCAGAGGGAUGACAUUGUAUAGCUUGGGUGUAUCUGAGUAGUGCUAGAUUUUUUCCCCCCUUCUCCAAUUUUGCUGGGGAAUUUUUAAAAUAAAUUAUUUGGUGACUCUUUCUUACCAUGAAUUCUGUUAUGACAUCACUGCUUUUCAGCAACUGUGGGCAGAUGUCUCCGAGACUUUUCUGUAAGUAGCAACUAAAAUUUUAUUUUUUAACCUAAGAGCAAGUGAAAAUGACUACAUAUAGGAAAUUGUAAGGCUUAAGUCAAUUUUUAAUAAUAUUUUUUUGUUUCAUGUCUCAAUGCAGCUGUAAAGCAAGCAAGCUUGAAAAAAAUUAAAUGAAUUAUCUUGGCUUUGCCCAAUUUGGAGGGAUUCCAUUUCCACUUAGUUUGGAUGAGAUCACCUCCAGCUUGUUAUUCAAAGGCCUUUAAGCUUCAUCCUA